AUUGAACGCUGGCGGCAUGCCUUACACAUGCAAGUCGAACGGCAGCGGGGGAGAAGCUUGCUUUUCCUGCCGGCGAGUGGCGAACGGGUGAGUAAUACAUCGGAACGUGCCCUGUAGUGGGGGAUAACUAGUCGAAAGAUUAGCUAAUACCGCAUACGACCUGAGGGUGAAAGUGGGGGACCGCAAGGCCUCAUGCUAUAGGAUCGGCCGAUGUCGGAUUAGCUAGUUGGUGGGGUAAAGGCCGACCAAGGCGACGAUCAGUAGCUGGUCUGAGAGGACGAUCAGCCACACUGGGACUGAGACACGGCCCAGACUCCUACGGGAGGCAGCAGUGGGGAAUUUUGGACAAUGGGCGAAAGCCUGAUCCAGCAAUGCCGCGCGUGUGAAGAAGGCCUUCGGGUUGUAAAGCACUUUUGUCCGGAAAGAAAUGGCUCUGGUUAAUACCUGGGGUCGAUGACGGUACCGGAAGAAUAAGGACCGGCUAACUACGUGCCAGCCGCCGCCGUAAAAC
rnacentral:rRNA from 1 species